rnacentral:lncRNA from 1 species
CUUGCAGAAGCUGAGUUGUUAUAUUUAUGGAUAAAUUUGUCAUAGAAGAAACAAUCAGUAUAUAAAUUAAAAUCUUGACUUUUUAAGAAAAGAUGGGACACAUUUUUACUAUAUUUGCUAGAAUAAUGAAGCAAUUGAAGUGCUUGAGAGCACUGAAGGGCAAAGAUUGCUUUCACUUUGUUAUUUUGUGAAUUUUUAAAUAAAACAUUGAAUUGUAGUUUGCUAGGCAAUGAAAAAUUAUUUGAGUUGGAGUUAUCUCCCAUUGUUCAUGAUUGUACAUAUGUAGUUGAAGCUUUUUUUUUAUAACAGAUUCAUAAACCAAGCAGAACUUUUGUAGUUUUUAAUAAAAAAUGUUUUCUUGACAGGUAUUUUAAUUCAAUUACUGAUCAUAUUGUUAUUAAAUAUCAAAAUUUCUCUAAUUUUCAUCAAUUUAUCCCUUUCUGCACCCAUUGUAUAAAAAAAAUUAAUCAACAUGUGGCUCAUUUGAUCUCAGAUCUUCAUUGGUUAAAAUCCAAUAAUGGUGUCGAAUUUUCUUG